GCACAAGCGGUGGAGCAUGUGGUUAAUUCGAUGCAACGCGAAGAACCUUACCUGGUCUUGACAUCCACAGAACUUUCCAGAGAUGGAUUGGUGCCUUCGGGAACUGUGAGACAGGUGCUGCAUGGCUGUCGUCAGCUCGUGUUGUGAAAUGUUGGGUUAAGUCCCGCAACGAGCGCAACCCUUAUCCUUUGUUGCCAGCGGUCCGGCCGGGAACUCAAAGGAGACUGCCAGUGAUAAACUGGAGGAAGGUGGGGAUGACGUCAAGUCAUCAUGGCCCUUACGACCAGGGCUACACACGUGCUACAAUGGCGCAUACAAAGAGAAGCGACCUCGCGAGAGCAAGCGGACCUCAUAAAGUGCGUCGUAGUCCGGAUUGGAGUCUGCAACUCGACUCCAUGAAGUCGGAAUCGCUAGUAAUCGUGGAUCAGAAUGCCACGGUGAAUACGUUCCCGGGCCUU
rnacentral:rRNA from 1 species